rnacentral:rRNA from 1 species
UACAGAGGGGGCAAGCGUUAUUCGGAAUUAUUGGGCGUAAAGGGCGCGUAGGCGGCUUUGCAAGUGACGGGUGAAAUCCCUCGGCUUAACCGAGGAACUGCCUGUCAGACUGCAUGGCUUGAGACCGGGAGAGGUGAGUGGAAUUCCCAGUGUAGCGGUGGAAUGCGCAGAUAUCAGGAGGAACACCGGUGGCGAAGGCGGUUCUCUGGGCAUUACCUGACGCUGAGGAGCGAAAGCAUGGGGAGCGAACAGG